GACGAACGCUGGCGGCGUGCCUGACACAUGCAAGUCGGACGGUUCUUGUACCUUCAAGCUUGCUUGUUGGUGCAAGGAUAGUGGCGGACGGGUGAGUAACGCGUGAACAUCUACCCAUUGGAGGGGGACAACCCGUCGAAAGGCGGGCUAAUACCGCGUAAGCCGCGAGGUGAGAGGCUGCCUAUUGGUGGCCGCCGAUGGAUGGGUUCGCGUCCUAUCAGCUGGUUGGUGGGGUAACGGCCUACCAAGGCGAAGACGGGUAGCCGGUCUGAGAGGAUGGCCGGCCACACUGGAACUGAGACACGGUCCAGACUCCUACGGGAGGCAGCAGUGGGGAAUAUUGGGCAAUGGGGGAGACCCUGACCCAGCGACGCCGCGUGAGGGAUGAAGGUUUUCGGAUCGUAAAGCUCUGUCUUCAAGGACGAAUGUAGAUAUUGUGAAUAAUGAUAUUUAAUGACGGUACUUGAGGAGGAAGCCACGGCUAACUACGUGCCAGCAGCCGCGGUAAACACG
rnacentral:rRNA from 1 species